GUGGGAAGAGGAGAGGGGCAUGGCCAAAAUGGAAAGGCGGGUUAUGGAGGAUUAACGUUAUCAGCUGGAGCCUCUGUAGCUAUAUGUAAUGCUGGAGGCCGGCCAGUUUAUCCGGCCGUCCUGACCGAGCUAACCAGGCUCAACUACAGCUAUUUACAGUUCAUAAGUUAAUGCUAAUAAUGAAUUUUACAUACACAUAAUUAUUAAAUUAUAUAAUAUUGUUGUUGUCAGUUUUUAAAUUGAGCAAGAGGCUAAAUUUGGCUUCUUUUUCAUCAGCAUGCUUGCUGCAGUUACAUGCGGCCACCUGUAGAUGGCGGAUUUUAACAGUAAAAAGCCCCAUUAAUACAACACUGUGCAAACACUCUGAAUAAAAAGGAAAAACCCAGAAUGACCUCCAAGUUUAUUUUAGACUUCAAUGUAAUGUAGAUAAAUUAAGAUAAUAGUGUAACUGCAGAACAUAACAUAAAAAAAUAAUUUAUUGCUCUCCCUGGGGGGAUUAGACUUAUAUUCAGAUACACACAAGUACAAAAAAUAGAAUAAUAGCAAAAAAAAAACAAAACAUAGAAAGACAUUUUCUUAUACCAGAAUGUGAUAUUAUAUAUUUUUUUUUUCGUGAAAAAAAGACCCCAAUUUAACUUCAUAGAGUUGGAGCUGAGGCCAGAUCUUCACAUUUAAAACUUACUCUUACACUCAGUAACAAUAACACACAAACACACACACACACACACACAGUCUUUUUGAGAGUGGGCAAAUUAGGCCUGGACAAUAAUUAGAUAUCGGUAUUUAUCACGAUAAGAAAUGUUUCAAUAACGGUGAUAUCAUUUUUGUGUCAUAUCGAUAUGUAUUAUUUACAGAAUCUGUCACGGACAGGCGUUUCACUGCAGAGCUGAACACAAUCAGCCUCCGUAGCAGGACUACAUCAGUGCGUGAUGAUGUAAUCACACAGACACGUAGCCAGAUAGGCUCGGCUAGGCUAGGCUAGGCUGGGCUCGGAUCCGCUCCGCUCUGCAUCUAAAAUGUCCCGCGGUGA